GUGGACCGCAAUGUCAAAAUUGCUGUUCGGCCAUUGCUCGUGAAAAAACAAAUUUGUUUACAAAGCAAAUCAUAUCUUUUGGUGACAAAUGCAUUCGUUGGCAAAAUAGCUGCUCGCGCUUCACUGUAGGCAGAUAUCUACAAUCAGCGGUCGAAUUAAAAACAGUGCAGAAGGAUGUUUUGAGUAUAUUUUACCUUCUAGCCGCGCAAUCAAUGCUUUUCUUUCCAAGCAAGCAGCGUUUUUCGGCAAAAGCAUGAAAUAGAAUCGUACGUGGUACGAAUUUAUCGGCACAAUCUGAUCAAGGACGGAGGCAUCAUCAAACGGAAACUACGCGAAAAACUUUUCGAAGAGAUAAAACUGCGCCGCAACACUCGUGUGAAAAUGGACGAGUUGGGCUGGGUGCUGAUGAACCACAAUUUGAUAACACGUAAUGAGCCAAUCCAACAGCAUGCCAAUGGCAAUCGACCAAAUCAUUUUAAAUUGAACAUGGAGCGGUUGUGAAACCUACUGGAG